UGGAGUUUAAUAAGGUUUAAAAAACCUUAUUCUAAAAUAAAAUAAAAGAAGUCUAGUUCUAUAUGGAUUUUACUUUUAUUUUAUUUUCCAUCGUAUUUUAUUUAAAUAAGAAUUCGGGUCACUUAAUUCUAACAAUCUCCACCUUGACACAAAUUCUCAAUGAACAAGUUCUUCAUCACAAACAAGUUCUCCACCUCUUCCACAAAACCCCUUAAGGGUUUAACUUCAACAAUAAACACCAACCAAGUCUAAGCAAUGGUCAAACUUGGUUAUAGGAAGUGACUUAGUCAUCAUAUCUGUAGGAUUUUCAUGAGUACUAAUUUUGCUCACAACAAUAUCACCACGAGCAAUAAUAUCACGAACAAAAUGAUACCGAACAUCAAUAUGUUUUGUUCUCUCGUGAAACAUUUGAUCUUUUGUAAGGAAGAUGGCACUCUAACUGUCACAAAAUACUGUACUGAUUUGAAGGUCUUCAUUGAGUUCACUAAAUAGUCCCUUCAACCAAAUAGCUUCUUUACAAGCCUCAGUAAUUGCCAUGUACUCGGCUUCAGUGGUAGACAAAGCGAAUGUAGUUUGCAAAGUGGCUUUCCAACUAAUUGCACAACCUCCGAUUGUAAAGACGUAACCUGUGAGAGAUAUUCUUCUAUCAAGGUCUCCAGCAAACUCAGCAUCAACAUACCCUAUGACUCCAUCUUUAGUUCUUCCAAACUGUAAGCAAACAUUAGUAGUGCCUCGUAAGUAUCUUAAAAUCCACUGAAUUGCUUUCCAAUGUUCUUUACCGGGAUUUGCCAUGUAUCUGCUAACUACACUGACUACAUAUGAUAAAUCUGGACGUGAGCAAACCUUAGCAUACAUGAGAGAUUCCACUGCACUAGAGUAUGGAACAUGUAACAUGUACUCAAUAUCAUCAUCUGAUUGUGGAGACAAAGCCGAUGAAAUUCUGAAAUGGGCUGCUAAAGGAGUACUAACAGGCUUAGCACUCUGCAUAUUGAACCUACAAAGAACUUUCUCAAUGUACCCCUUCUGACUUAGGUACAAUUUACUUGCUUUUCUAUCUCUGAGAAUCUCCAUACCAAGUAUCUUCUUUGGUGGUCCUAAAUCUUUCAUCUCAAAUUCUUCACUUAGUUGGGCUUUGACCUUUCUUAUCUCUCCUUUAUCUUUUGCUGCUAUCAACAUGUCAUCAACAUAAAGAAGUAGAUACACAAAAGAACCAUCACUGUUUUUCUUAAAGUAAACACAACUGUCUAAACUACUUCUUUUGAAAUCAUGAGAAGUCAUAAAGGAAUCAAACCUCUUGUACCACUGUCUUGGUGACUGUUUCAAACCAUAAAGCGACUUUUUCAGCAAGCAAACAUAGUCCACUUUUUCUGAGACUAUAAAACCCUCUGGUUGUUGCAUGUAAAUAUCCUCCUCAAGUUCUCCAUGCAUAAAUGUAGUUUUUACAUCUAACUGCUCAAGCUCCAAAUCAUGCAUGACUACAAUACCAAGCAAAGCUCGAAUCGAACUAUGCUUAACAACUGGAGAGAACACAUCUGUGAAGUCCACUCCUGGAAUUUGACUAUAACCCUUUGCAACAAGCCUUGCUUUAUAUCUGGGUUCUUCAACUCCUAGAGUCCCUUCUUUCUUUUUAAACACCCAUUUACAAUAAACAGCCUAUUUACCCUUAGGAAGUUUCACAAGGUCCCAUGUUUUGUUUUUGUGGAGUGAUUCCAUCUCUUCUUGCGUAGCAAACAUCCACUUUUCUGAGUCUUCACAGCUAACCACCUCAGAAUAAUUAGAUGGCUCUUGAUUCGCAUCUAUAUCUUCAGCCACAUUUAAAGCAUAAGCAACUAAAUCAGCUUCGGCAUACUUCUUUGGAGGUUUAAUUUCUCUUCUAGUUCUGUUUUUGGCGAUAGAGUAUUGUGGUGAAGAAGCAACUCUAUUCUCAAUUUUUGUUAUGGCUUGAGGAGUUGACUCUGUAUUAAUCUGAUACUCCACCUGCUUUUGGUUUUCUUUAUUGGAAGAGUCUUUAAGAGAUAAGUUAGGUAGCAUAGCAGUUUCAUCAAAAACAACAUCUCUACUAAUCACAACUUUUCUAUUUUCAGGACACCAUAACUUAUACCCUUUUACACCGGCUUUAUAACCAAGAAAAACGCAUUUAAUGGAUCUCGGUUCCAGUUUUCCAUUAUCAACAUGAGAAUACGCAGGACACCCAAAAAUCUUUAAAUCAGAAUAAUUAACAGGAUUACCAGACCAUACCUCUUGUGGAGUCUUUUUCUCAAUGGCAACGGAUGGAGAUCGGUUGAUCAAAAAACAUGCAGUAAAGGCUGCUUCUGCUCAAAAUGACUUCGGUAAGUUGGCAUUUGAAAACAUACAUCGAACCUUCUCUAUGAUCGUUCUGUUCAUUCGUUCUGCAAUGCCGUUUUGCUGUGGAGUAUGACGAACUGUCAAGUGUCUCAUGAUCCCUUCUGACUUGCACAAUCUAUUAAACUCAUCAGAGUAGAACUCUAAGCCAUUGUCUAUACGAAGGUAUUUUAUUUGUUUUCCCGUCUAUUUUUCAAUCAUAAUUUUCCAAGACUUAAAUGCGGAAAACACAUCACUUUUCUGCUUCAGGAAGAACGCCCAAACUUUUCUGAAAAAUCAUCAAUAAAGGUUAACAUAUAAUUAGUUCCACCUCUCGAAGGCACUCUGGAUGGCCCCCACAGAUCAGAAUGAAUAUACUCCAACGUUCCUUUUGUGUUAUGGAUUCCUCUAGUGAAUCGAACUCUCUUUUGCUUCUCAAAAACACAGUGCUCACAGAAAUUCAGUUUGCAAAUUCCUUGCCCAUCAAGAAGUCCUCUUUUGCUCAAUUCUGCAAUGCCAUUCUCACUCAUAUACCCUAGGCGCAUAUACCAAAGUUUAGUAAUAUCAUCAUCUGACAAGGAAGAUAAAGUGACAGCUGCAUCACCAGUAAUAGUAGAACCCUGCAAAACAUAUAACUUGGCAAUUUUUCUCUGCCCUUUCAUCACAACAAGGGACCCUUUGGAAAUCUUUAAAACCCCACUUUCAGCUGUGUAUCUGUACCCUUUUGAAUCAAGAGUACUCAAUGAAAUUAAAUUUUUUUUCAAUUCUGGAACUUGUCAUACGUCACUAAGUGUUCUAACAACUCCAUCAAACAUCUUAACUUUAAUUGUUCCAACACCUGCGAUUUUACACGAAGCAUUAUUUCUCAUCAAAACAACACCUUCAGACACUAUUUCGUAAGUUGUAAACCAAUCACGAUUGGGACACAUGUGGAAGGUGCAGCCUGAAUCAAGUAUCCACUCCUCACUUACUUUAGAAUCAUUGACAGAAGCGACUAGAAGUUCACCAUCGCUAUAGUCUUCUACAACAUCAGCUUCACCGAAAUUUUCUGGUUGUUUUCCCUUUUGAUUCGCAGCCUCCCUUUUAAUCUUAUUUUGUAGCUUAUAGCACUUAGAUUUAAUGUGCCCUUUCUUCUUGCAGAAGUUACAAGUUUUACCUCUAUUUGAAGACUUCGAUCUACCCUUAGAUUUACCACGAGGAUUCUGUUCCUGUGUCUUACCAUGAUCAUCAUCAACAUUCCGAUCUUGUCUCCCAUGAACAAUGAGACCCUCUCCCUGAGAGUCGAGUUUAACCACAAGAUGUUUCAUCUUAUUAUAUGAGGUUAAAGAAUCAUAAACCUCAUCAACUGUGAGAGACUCGCGGCUAUAUAAAAUCGUGUCUCUAAAGGUUGAAUAAGACGGGGGCAACGAACAAAGUAGAAUCAACCCUAGAUCUUCCUUAUCAUACUUAACCUCCAUGGCCUCCAAGUUUGAGAGAAUUUCUUAAAACACUGUUAAGUGUUCGUGUACAGACGCACCUUCCUCCAAACAAUGAGCAUAAAGACGCUACUUCAUAUGUAACUUGCUUGUUAGAGUUUUCGACAUACAUAUUUGUUCUAGCCUCUUCCAUAAUGCAGCGGCAGUCUUCUCUUUCAUCACAUCCUGCAAAAUUUCGUUUGACAAAUGCAGAUGUAAUUGUGUUAAUGCCUUUCGAUCCUUACGCUUCUUCUCUUCAUCGGUUAAUGUCGAAGGCAUCUUAUCUAUCCCUAGCAGGGCAUCCUCCAGAUCCAUCUGCGCAAGAACUGCUUGCAUCUUAAUCUGCCACAAUGCAAAUCUGGUGUUGCGGUCCAAUAACGAAAUUUCAUAGUUCAAAGACGCCAUUACUCUGAUUGAGAUGAACAACCCGAAAGCUCGGAUACCAAUUUGUAAAAAUAAAAUAAAAUAAAAAACACACAAAUUUUACGUGGAAACCCUUUCGGGAAAAAACCACGGGCAGAGAAGAAGAAAAUUCACUAUGUUGAAAAAUUUGAAUCAAUACAAGAGGAAUAGACUAUGUCUAUUUAUAGGCUUGUAAAGUCAUAUUCUAGUAGGAUUGAAACACCUUAUCCUAAUAAAUAUAAAAUAGAUGGAGUUUAAUAAGGUUUAAAAAACCUUAUUCUAAAAUAAAAUAAAAGAAGUCUAGUUCUAUAUGGAUUUUACUUUUAUUUUAUUUUUCAUCGUAUUUUAUUUAAAUAAGAAUUCGGGUCACUUAAUUCUAACACAGCACUUUAACACUUCAAUUUACAACACUUUAACAUCUCAAUUAACAACAUUUAUACUCCUUAAUUACAGCGAUAAAACAUCUUAAUUUCCAGCAACUAAACAUUUCAAUUUGCAGUACUUAAACACUUCAAUUUACAACAUUUAAACACUUCAAUUUACAACAUUCAAACACUUCAAUUUGCAGCAUUGUAACACUUCAAUUUAUAGCAUUUAAAUACUUCAAUUUGUAGCACUUUAACAUCUCAAUUAACAACAUUUAUACAGCUCAAUUACAGCGAUAAAACAUCUCAAUUUCCAGCAACUAAACACUUCAAUUUACAAUAUUUAAGCACU
rnacentral:lncRNA from 1 species